UACGAAGGGGGGCUAGCGUUGCUCGGAAUCACUGGGCGUAAAGCGCACGUAGGCGGCUUUUUAAGUCAGGGGUGAAAUCCUGGAGCUCAACUCCAGAACUGCCUUUGAUACUGAGAGCUUGAGUCCGGGGAGAGGUGAGUGGAACUGCGAGUGUAGAGGUGAAAUUCGUAGAUAUUCGGCAAGAACACCAGUGGCGAAGGCGGCUCACUGGCCCGGUACUGACGCUGAGGUGCGAAAGCGUGGGGAGCAAACAGGG
rnacentral:rRNA from 1 species